GGGCUUGUACUGGUUUCGACGGGGGUUUUGAAGUCUGGGAAGCCAUCCGCGGCCCCGGGACCGCGUCAACAACCUGGAACUUAAAAUUAAACGCAGACGAAAAUUUAGCGUACGCUGCUUAAUUGCGGCUGUCGGUGCCUGAAUCUCCCGCAGUUCGGGUUCCGGCAUCAAAUUUCGCGGGGCACUUUUUCUUCAAAGCUUUGAGAGGAAAAAAGAUCUUAUGAAGCUACUGAUGCCAGAAGCCUGUCAUUAGGCGUCUGACGGAGGGAAUGUCAAAAUAAUGACUGUGAUGGGAGAUGCCUGGAUGGAUAGGCUUUCGGACGCGGGUUCGAUUCCCGCCAGGUCCAU
rnacentral:tmRNA from 1 species